AGGGUCCCUUGUCUCUGAGCGGGAGGCAGGGUCUGCCCCCCACGCUGUGGGCCGUGCUGGGCGCCUGGAGCCCAUGCAGGGGGGUAUGUGGGCCAGGCCGCAGCUCUGGGAGGGGCCAGGUUCACACCAGCCCUGCCCCCCACCGGAGGUGCAGGCGCGCCCACACAGCAUCCUGCCCUGAACUUUGUCCCACCGGUGGCGUCGGGGGUAAAGUGCCGAUUCUGAAGGGUGUAAUGGUGCGCGAGGGACCUAAUGGGGUUUGCCAUCAGGGACUCAGCCACUAGGGUGAGGGGGCUCCCGACGUGCUGCGAGGGACACUGUCCCUGGGUCCUGU
rnacentral:lncRNA from 1 species